AGGAGACCCUUCCCAUGGCUAAUUUCAGGACAUGACAAAUUUUGACGUUGACGCCCCCUUUUCAUUUUUUUAAUUGUGUAAACCUUUUUUUAUUGAAGUAUACUUGAUGUAUAAUAUUACACUGUCGUAAACCUUUGAUUUUUAAAAAGGAAGAAAAAUAAAAGCCACCCUAAAAUGAUUUUUUUUUUUGACUGGCAUCUACAUCUCUACCCUGCUUCCUGCACCUGGUGGGGGACACAGCGCUUCUCCGCCCUUCAGGAAACGGCCCACUUGUCAGCAGCUGGGCUCCCAGGAACAAAGGCCUAGGUUCAUUACCACAGUAUCGACCCUGACACGUUGCACUCGGGCCACCUCCCCCAGAGUUCCUCAAUUCACACCCCAAAUGAAGCGUAAUUGGACCUGGACAUCUUUGAAGUCCCCCGAGCAGCUCGCCAGCAUUUUGAAAUGUCCUCGAUUUGCAUGGUGAAAACCUGGUUGGAGGUGACUUUUUCUUUCCCCUCAUCCCACGGUUUUAAAGACAGAAUGAUUUAAAAUGACAUUCCCCAGCCAGGGAAGAGUUACCAUGGAAGAAAUAAAAAUUCUCAAAGCCCAGAAAAGAAAAGGCCAAAUAAGUCCGAGGAUCUGAUGAAUCUCUCAUCUGCUCCUUUGCUCGGUUUUUGUUCUGCGAGGGCCACAUACCAGGCCGUGGUUUCCUCUCAAACUUCUCCCCACGUCCCCGACCUGGGGGGAUGACGAGGAUCCAGGAAACUUGGCUAGGAGGUUCUGCAGGCCAGCGGGUUGCUGUCGGACCUGAAGCAAGAGCGGGAGCCCUGCCACAGGCCGGUCCCUUAAUGGCCGUUUGUAUUGGAUGAAGUUCAUAAGGAUUUGCAGAGGUUCUCCAGGGCCUCUGUGAGGGUGAAGAAACUAGCUCUGCCAACCACGGGUUCUCAAGGAACAUUUGUCUGCAGUGGAAUUAAUCAGAAGUCGCGCCCUCCCUCCCUCUGACAGCUGCAGGGGGAGAGGGUGGAGGAAUUAUCCAGGGAAUGCGAGGGCAAUGGGGGCCACGUGAUAAGAAGGAGAGUUCUCCCUUGUCCCUUUCCAACGCCCCUGCAGAUGUGGCCGAGGAGCCCGGCCCUGCAAGGCCAUGGUGGAGGAAGGAGGCUGUGUAGUAAUGUGGUUAGGGCUCGGCAAACCCGGCUCCAAAAGCCAGCGCUGUUAUGUAACUGGUGUGCGCCUCAGUUUCCUCUGUAGUAAAAUGGGAAUGACUUCCGGGCUGCUUGUGGGGAUUAAGGGAGGUCAGGCGAAUAACGGCCCAGGCACACCAUGGGUUUAGGAGAUGGCGGUUCCUGGGAUUUAUGCAGACCUGUGGCCCUAUGCCCUGUGGGAGUGGAGCCCUAAGCGUAAAUCGUUAACUCCUCAAAGGUAUGUUUGCUGUGCCCUGGGAUUUUCAAAGGGCAGGCUCUCCCAACAGCUCCAGAACCUUGCUACUCAAAAGGCCCGCGGACCGGCAGCAGCCUCACCUGAGAGGCUGUAAGGACGCCCUCAGAUGCUCCCCAGGCCUGUCGAAUCAGAAUUUCUAUAUUAAGAUUCCCUCAGUUUCAAAAUCACAUUUGGAGAAGUGGACCCUCUGUGCAUAAGAACAGCCACUGAGAGAAACAACAAAGAUGAGCGGGUUGAAAAAGGCAAGUCCUUCCAUUGCCCUCCACGUUUGUCUCUCAUAUCAGGAUUCUGAUCGUCCCCACUGGCCUUUUCCGUGAUGGCUAGAGUUGUAAAAUGGACCCCAGAGCAGGAUACAUGGCCAUUCGGGGAGGAUUUUUUCCUGGAACUCUCCUGGGUUCUCCUGGACCAGUCCUAGAGGAGGCAAGUGGGUAGAAGCUUACCAAGUCGGCCCUGGAAGGGACCUUGGAGGGCAUCUAGUCCAGCCAAGCCAGCUGAAAGGCAGGGUUACCUAGUGGUUGAGCGCACACAUUUGAAGCCAGACAGCCCCAGUUUGAACCAGUUCUCCACCACUUCCUAGCUGUGUGACCUUGGACAAGUUUACUAACCUCCGCCUCAGUUUCCUCAUCUGUCACAUAGUAAUCAUCCUACCUACCUCAGACAGUUGUAGCGGUGACAAAGUGAAUUAACACAUAAAGCAUCAGGAAUAGCACAAAGUGUACAGUAAGCGUUUGAUAAGAGAAGGAAAUGAGGCUCAGAGGAGAAGCAGCCUCCCCGAGGUCACUCAGGGAUUUGCCAAACUGAGCUGGACUCGGUGAAAAAGAGGAGAGGUUACAGCCUCUUGGAAAUUCUGACUAAUAACUGUUUCUCUGCCUGUGUUACAUCGCCCUCGCUCAACACUUGGAGAGAGACCUCAUGUGGAAGUCAGGGUACCGCAUUCCAGUCCAGGCGUGCAGCUCACCGACAGUGGCCCUCCUAGCUGAUGAGCUUGGGGCUGGAUGGUCUCUGGGGUUCCUAUUGGCACUAACAUCUUAUAAUUUGAAAUUAGGGUCUGUACCCUCCAUUCAAAUCAAGUCUGUCUUUUCCUGCAACACGCUUUACACUGUUUUUUUUUUCUCCCCAUUUCCCUCUGACGUUUUGCCCAACUGUGUCCUGUGCUCAUCAACACCCGGUUUCCUUUUGGCCCUCCCACUCUGUCCCUCCCCACGUUGGCCCCUCUCCCCUGCUAGGGCAAUCAUGGGCUCCCACUGGCCCACACCUGAGCCCUCAGUUGCCAGGUUUAAGCUGAUUAGACACUGUCUUGGAGGUGUCUUGAAAGUUACCAUGUAGGCACCUUGAAACUAGAGACUGGAUUUCUUCCUUAU